rnacentral:rRNA from 1 species
GCAGUGAGGAAUAUUGCGCAAUGGGGGCAACCCUGACGCAGCAACGCCGCGUGAGUGAGGAAGGUUUUCGGACCGUAAAGCUCUGUCGAGCGGGAAGAAAUGCAUGGUGGCUAAUAUCCAUCAUGCUUGACGGUACCGCUAGAGGAAGCCCCGGCUAACUUCGUGCCAGCAGCCGCGGUAAUACGAAGGGGGCUAGCGUUGCUCGGAAUUACUGGGCGUAAAGGGAGCGUAGGCGGACAUUUAAGUCAGGGGUGAAAUCCCGGGGCUCAACCUCGGAAUUGCCUUUGAUACUGGGUGUCUUGAGUGUGAGAGAGGUAUGUGGAACUCCGAGUGUAGAGGUGAAAUUCGUAGAUAUUCGGAAGAACACCAGUGGCGAAGGCGACAUACUGGCUCAUUACUGACGCUGAGGCUCGAAAGCGUGGGGAGCAAACAGGAUUAGAUACCCCAGUAGUCC